UUUUGUAAAGUUAUUGUAAAAUUUAAAAUUAUGAUGUCAUUUCAAUGCUAACCGCGCAAUUUGAUUGCGCGAAACAUCAUGCUAGUUGAGUAUUGAAAGCCGAAAGGCCCAACCAGAAAACAUUUCCCACAGGCGUCUGUCUCCUCCUCCUCCUCGUCGUCUCCACGGCGACAGCGCCGCCGCUUCUCGGUCGCCGGCGCACCCGCCGUCUCUUCGGCCGGCGGGGGCUCUCGAGGAAGGCUUCCGCGCCGCCAUCAGUACCCCGAAUCGGGCGUGGGAAUAGCUUUUGCUGAAUUACACUGGCGACUGAUCAUAGGACCACAUAGCUUUGGAUUACCAUCAAAGCUUGAAUUAUCAAAUGUAUCGAACUGGCCUCCAGUUGGAAUAGGUCCUUCCAGGUCAUUGUUGGAAACAUUGAAUGCAGAAAGGAAGUGUAGCUUGCUCAGUUGUAAAGGGAUUGUACCUGUUAGAUUGUUGUUAGACAAGUCUAGCAUCUCCAGGUCGGUGAGCUUGCAAAUUGCUUGUGGGAUUUCCCCAGAGAAACUAUUGUAGCUCAAAUCAAGCAUAUCGAGUGCCUUCAGCUGACCAAUCUCUGGAGGGAUCACACCUGUAAAGCCAUUUCUGCCUAUAUUUAGCGUUGCUGGUCCCAUCAGUAAUUGAUGCCUUGAACCGCUGCAAACAAUUAUUUUAGAGACCCUUUCAUUUA